AAGGCCUUAGCUUAAUUAAAGCUUUUGAUUUGCAUUCAAACUAUGUGGGGUAAAAACCCGCAGGCCUUA
rnacentral:tRNA from 1 species